rnacentral:rRNA from 1 species
UACGUAUGGUGCAAGCGUUGUCCGGAAUUAUUGGGCGUAAAGAGCCCGUAGGCGGUUUGUCGCGUCUGCUGUGAAAGUUCGGGGCUCAACCCCGGAACUGCAGUGGGUACGGGCAGACUAGAGUGCGGUAGAGGAGACUGGAAUUCCUGGUGUAGCGGUGGAAUGCGCAGAUAUCAGGAGGAACACCAGUGGCGAAGGCGGGUCUCUGGGCCGCAACUGACGCUGAGGAGCGAAAGCGUGGGGAACGAACAGG